ACGUACCGCUCACUCCAUCUUUUUCUUUUAUCGAAAAGGAUCGUGAGGUGAGUCCUGCCAAGUAAAAUAAAUACCUUUUUGUCUUAAAGAAGGUAACGUAUGAUCAAAAAUUACACUGACGAACAAGUCACCAAAACAAAAUGUAGACUUUGGCUCAUUUGGGCUUGGACAACAAAAUGUAUACGGUGUUAUUUAAGGAAGAGAGAGGAAAAAAAAAAAAAGUCCCCCCCCUCCCCAUCAUCUUGUGGCCAACGUGAUACUCGGAUAAAUGUUGUGUAGUGUGAAGAAGAUUGCAAACUUGCAGGCUUACUCGACUUUCGUUGGGCUGAAAAAAUAAAGAACAAAAAUCGGGAAGGAGGCGCUACAAAAAAGGUGGCUUAGGAAGCGCUACAAAAAAAGGUAACAUCUGACCUAAAUGUCUUUUUAUUCAACACCACUGUUUGAGAUUUUUUCAUUUAAUUUUUGCUUUUAAAAAAAUAUAAGGAACACAUUCAAAAUCUAGAUCAAAGUUAAUACAUGCAACUCUUGCUCUAAAACCUUUUUUCCUUUCCUUUUUUUUUUUUAAAUAGAUUUCAUUUAAAAGUAAAAAAAAAAAAAAAGUUACCACUAAAUGAUGUAAAUUUAUGUAUAAUAAAAAUACUAAUUAGCAUAUUUCACUCUAAAAAUAGAUCAAAUAAGUCAUUUAAAUAAGCACGAGUUGCAUUGCUUGGUUUAAAGUCGUAGAUCUGAGUUCAGCGUUAAGUAGAAAGUUUAUUAAUUAUUUUCCCUCUCUGUUCUCCGCCGUCUCACAGAUGCUGGUCUUGGAUCUGCUGACUGGAUGAAAGUGAAACCACUUAAAAGACCCUAAUUUAUGCUCCAGGAACCCACAAACCACACCUUCAACAAAAAGCCUUUUGUUUGGCUUAGGAGACUAGACCGGCGUACCCGCUGAACUGUUCACUUUAACACCCAGCACACGUGCUAUCCAGACCACCUGGAAAUUAUGGACCAAAUAUGUUUAUUCUGACAGAUUUUCUGUAAGAAUGAAAGUUAUUGAAAGCUUUUUUUUUUUUAAUUAUUUUUUUAAAAGGUGGAACGUUACAGUUUCUUUUAAACAGGUGUGCAGUUUUAUAUGCUUCAUUUUUAGUGUAGCCUUCUGGCUUCUUUUGUAUGCAGCUGUAUUUUAUAAAUACGUGAGUUGUGUUCUUUUUUAUAAAGGUGUUUUGUACUGUUGGCAAAUUAAAUAUAUUUUCUAUAGUGGAAAAUGUUGUCAUGUCUGGUUUGUAUGUCAGGCAAUCAACAAAUGUUUCUUACAGACGGCGAUGCAGUUUUCUAUCGUAUCGCGAGUCAUCUUCAUGCUUGUAAUCUGCUGAAUUCCCAACAUCCUCCUCCUCUUUGCAAAUAGCGUUGGGACAC
ensembl:lncRNA